rnacentral:rRNA from 1 species
UACAGAGGGUGCAAGCGUUGUUCGGAAUUAUUGGGCGUAAAGGGCGCGUAGGCGGUGCUGUAAGUCUGUGGUGAAAUCUCUGGCUCAACUCAGAGUCUGCCAUAGAAACUGCAGUGCUGGAGUGUGGGAGAGGUGAGUGGAAUUCCCGGUGUAGCGGUGAAAUGCGUAGAUAUCAGGAGGAACACCAAUAGCGAAGGCAGCUCGCUGGGACGGUACUGACGCUAAGGCGCGAAAGCGUGGGGAGCGAACAGG